UGGAUGAGUGGCGAACGGGUGAGUAACACGUGAGUAACCUGCCCCCUUCUUCUGGAUAACUGCUUGAAAGGGUAGCUAAUACGGGAUAUUCUGGCCUGCUCGCAUGGGUGGGUUUGGAAAGGUUUUUUCUGGUGGGGGAUGGGCUCGCGGCCUAUCAGCUUGUUGGUGGGGUGAUGGCCUACCAAGGCGGUGACGGGUAGCCGGCCUGAGAGGGUGGACGGCCACACUGGGACUGAGACACGGCCCAGACUCCUACGGGAGGCAGCAGUGGGGAAUAUUGCACAAUGGGCGCAAGCCUGAUGCAGCGACGCCGCGUGAGGGAUGGAGGCCUUCGGGUUGUAAACCUCUUUCGCCAGUGAAGCAGGCCAUCUUCUUUGUGGGGUGGUUGACGGUAGCUGGAUAAGAAGCGCCGGCUAACUACGUGCCAGCAGCCGCGGUAAUACGUAGGGCGCGAGCGUUGUCCGGAAUUAUUGGGCGUAAAGAGCUCGUAGGCGGCUGGUCGCGUCUGUCGUGAAAUCCCCUGGCUUAACUGGGGGCUUGCGGUGGUACGGGCCGGCUUGAGUGCGGUAGGGGAGACUGGAAUUCCUGGUGUAGCGGUGGAAUGCGCAGAUAUCAGGAGGAA
rnacentral:rRNA from 1 species